ensembl:lncRNA
CACUGCCAAUUAGAAUGCAUUUGUAGUAGAAAUGCUAAGUCAGGGCUUGACCCAGUGAUUGAGCACCUGGUGGGAAGGCAGGGCCAACCCAGGAGAGCUCAGGUGUAAGGAAUACAGCUGAGGGACCAGAACGGGUGGAGCCAGGAUGCACUCCUUCCCAGACCUCAUUUAAGGGUUGGCAGUGAAGACAAGUGUCCAGAACAGCUGCAUACCCCAGGGGGCUUUGUGUUCAGAGAGGAGAUAUAACUUCUGGUAACAUCACCUGAUGUCCCUUUUUUCCUUCAGCUCUCCUCCCUGCUGCUCGACCCAACUGCGUGUCUCACUUCAAAAUUAUGACUUGAGAUCUGGAUCCUGUUCCCAGCUUUGGUGUUGCAAUUUCCUGUUCCACCCAUUCCUUCCAAUAUGCAGGGCUAUUGGAAAAACACUUCAGACAGAAAUAUUUUAUCUUGCAUCUGGCUCAGCUGCACAAAGAUUCACAAGAGUAACAGGACUUUUGCAUAAUGAAAUGGAUGGGGAAAGCCAGGUGCCGGGAAGAAGGAUGCGAAGAUCUGAAGGUGAAUAUUCUGCUGGUGGUGACACUGAACUUAAAGCAAGGAGACUGGCUAAUGGAAAUGAUUAUGGAAGUGGAAGUGACAGCUGCUGAAGUGGAAGGGAAAACUGAAGAUUUAAAGUGCCGAAAAUAUCAAAGCUGCCUCUGGAGAAGAUUGGUGUACCUGUUUCAGCAGCUGGACUGGCUUCAAGACUCCUUCACAAAUUUCUCCUCUAAAAGCAGUCUGUCUCUUCACAUACAAGAGCAGUGGUUCUCCUUUUUUUUCUGCACCAACAAGCAUCCUUCUUCAAUGUCACCUGCUUUUCUUCUCCCUUCUCCAAUGGCAGGCCAAAGUGAGAGCUUGCUACCUAUCAUAACUAUUAGCAGCAGGACUUGACUGCUAAGCAAGCAGGACUGCUUCUGUUAAGAAGCUCAGCGUGUACCUUUUAGACACACACUGCCAUAUAAGCUGCCUUCAGGUAGUAUGACUGGGACAGAAAAGAAUAAAUUCAAAGCACUGUCCUGAUGGAAAAACGGUCACUUACGUAGCUGAUGGAACCAACUCCCUGCCUCUUGCACAGGGAAUAUUUUAGAAGCAGAGUAUGGGUGAGGGAUGGGGCACUGCUGUCUGAAUGGGGAAGUAAAAAACUUCUGGUGUACUUUAGCACUCUGGUGGGAUGGUACUGCCCUCUGAAUAUUAACUGGUGAAAUUAACUGGUGAAAAGAACUGGGAGGUGACUCAUAUCUCCAACAUAACUCAUCAUUGCUCUUCGUGUCAGCUAGACCACAGGUGCAGAAGAGAACCUGUUGCCUUUGUGCACUUCCAGGGCAACAUCUCAUCAGAAGCUACAGCAGAGGAAGUCAGCGCAUUUCAAACACCUUCGUGUUUCUGAAGCCACACUUCCUAUCCUGACUGCUCUCUUGUUCACUAGUGCAAGGAGUCAGUGACUGCACAUAGUGAUAGCAACUUGCAUCUUCCCCUCUAGCAAAUGAAUAUUCAGCCACAACCAACAGAUUGGUCCAGAGAGGGAUGUGUAGAUGUUAGAAAGCUUUCAAAGAACAUUUAGACCUGAAUGCCUGUUGCAGUGAACUACAAAUAUCAUGUAACUCAAUAAAGACAUGGAAAACCUCAUAUCUCUAAAGGACCAUUCAGGAAGGCCACAGGUAACACUUUUUCUUUGGAGGAGCUUUUAUGAUGAAAGCUGUUAUGAUGGCUUUUCCUGAUUCCCUUCAGUCUAUUCCUACGUAGAUCAAGUUAGAUCAAGUUUAUUUUUAUUGGUUUUUUUGGUCUCUCAUCUGAGAUUACACUUUUUCUGCAUGUCUUCAUUCUUAUUCCUCUAUUCCUCCUCUUAUUUUUCUCUUCAAUCUAUGCCUCUCCCAAACUGGGAUUCCCCAGGCUGAACACAGUAUUCUUAUAUAUGACUGACCAAUGUCUUAGAAUCUUCUGUAGUAAACCCUACGCAUUAUUUUAUGUUUUCCACAGACAGUACUCCUUAUUUAUUU